rnacentral:pre_miRNA from 13 species
AGGAGUGCUCUGCUGUGAGAACUGAAUUCCAUAGAUGGUGACAUUUGUAUGUGUCAUCUAUGGGCUCAGUUCUUUUGGCUUGGUACUGUUUU